AAACAGAGAACCCUUUCAACACUCUCUCCCCUCUCUUCUCUUCCGGCCACAAAUGCCACCGCCCUUCCACCAUAGCCACUGGCUGGUGACGACGAUGACCGCCGUAUACGGCGGCCGAAUUCCCAAAAAUAUCCCAUUUUGAUUAAAACGACCCUCUUACUCCCGUUUUAGAGUCUAAACCUCCGAUGAUCGAGCAAAAAUGCCCGAAUUAGCCAGAGGCUCUUCGACUUUCGGCCGCCUUUCAUUGGAGAUGGCUACCUCAGGCAUCCC
rnacentral:lncRNA from 1 species